CGGGGGGAGCAAGCGUUGUUCGGAUUUACUGGGCGUAAAGGGCGCGUAGGCGGCGCAACAAGUCACUUGUGAAAUCUCCGGGCUUAACUCGGAGCGGCCAAGUGAUACUGUCGUGCUAGAGUGCGGAAGGGGCAACUGGAAUUCUCGGUGUAGCGGUGAAAUGCGUAGAUAUCGAGAGGAACACCUGCGGCGAAGGCGGGUUGCUGGGCCGACACUGACGCUGAGGCGCGAAAGCCAGGGGAGCGAACGGGAUUAGAUACCCCGGUAGUCCUGGCCUUAAACGAUGGAUGCUUGGUGUCCGGGGUUACAUAGUCCCCGGAUGCCGUCGCUAACGCCUUAAGCAUCCCGCCUGGGGAGUACGCACGCAAGUGUG
rnacentral:rRNA from 1 species